UACGUAGGGUGCGAGCGUUAAUCGGAAUUACUGGGCGUAAAGCGUGCGCAGGCGGUUCGUUGUGUCUGAUGUGAAAGCCCCGGGCUCAACCUGGGAAUGGGCAUUGGAAACUGGCGAGCUAGAGUGUGGCAGAGGGGGGUGGAAUUCCGCGUGUAGCAGUGAAAUGCGUAGAGAUGCGGAGGAACACCGAUGGCGAAGGCAGCCCCCCUGGGCUGACACUGACGCUCAGGCACGAAAGCGUGGGGAGCAAACAGG
rnacentral:rRNA from 1 species